UCCGUAUGGUAAGGAGUCAUUGCCCUGAAACACCACUUGUUCUCUAAAUUAAUGGAAAUGGUGGCUCGUUGAGCAUAUGAAAGGAACUGGAGUUGAUGUGAUUGUGCUAGACUGGACAGUGGAUAUGGCAGAUGGAAGGAAGUGUUUGCAACUUUGCGUAGUAUCACCCCUUCCUGUGCUUGUCUGUUGAAAUACAUUGAGUUGUGAGAUGUGCUAGGCCAAGGGGACACAUUCCUAAUCUUGGACAUAGUUGGGACUCCUGAAGAAGCUGUUGCUCAUUUCUUUGAAGUUGCAAGAACUCUUCAGGAUCAUGCAGCAGAACGAAUUGGCAGUUUGAGGAGUCAUGUCAACAAUUUUUUUUUUAAGAAAAUGGGUGUUGAAUGUGAGUUGAUGCCUCGUUCAUUUUUGUGACUGAUUGAAGUUCAUUCGAAGCCGCACAAUUUUUGAGGCACUGACUGGAGCUUUGAGGUUCUGUGCCUGCAUGUGCUUUGGGAGAUAUUCUUGCAAGUGAGAUGAGAGCUUGCCAUUAUAUUGAUUACCAAGGUAAGGCAAAAAUAUUCAAGUCUCUACAGAUGAUGGGCUAGAAGCUCUACAAUAUUAAGUUUCAAAGCAAAUGAUCAAAAGUAUUGUUGACUAAUGGGCAUUCAUCAAUCUUCUCCUGAUGGCGCCAUCUCCAUCGGCAUCACCAUUAGGCAAAAACUGGCCAUAUAUACAGCGUAUGCUAUCAAGUCUGUCACCACCGCCACACAAGACAAAGAUAGUGGUGGUCAUUUUUAGAUUUCAUGUCAAAGUUACCCACUUUUAGGUUGGCACUUACUUUUCAAAUUUUCUUUUUGAUGAAUUUUCUUAUAGGUUCUGAAUUUUAGUUGGGUUUCAACUGAACGCUUCAAACUAUUUGAGCUCCUGAUCUUGUCGAGAUAAUGUACAUAAAUAAUGACCUAAUAAUUGCAGUUUGUUUGCUCUUUGUACUGAAUGAGCUGGCCUUGCAGCUAAUGACGGUUUUCGGUAUCUCAAGAUGGCAUAGCAUAGCAUCCAAUGUUGCGUCCAGAAAGAGCAAGACACAGGAAAGCUAGGAAAAGAUGGUUUUCAUCAACCUGCUGCAUAUGACCUCUCUAAAGGAGCACAAGGGAAAUAAUUUAUCCGGAUCCUAGGAAAAGAUGUCCUUAAAUUCUGAAUACUUUGUCUCUUAAUUUUCAAAUUUGGCCAUCCUGUUUGAGCUGUCUGUAAAGCUACAAUACAGUGAAAAGUGCUAUUGUUAGUAAAGCAUAUGUUUAAAGCAA